rnacentral:rRNA from 1 species
GAUGAACGCUGGCGGCGUGCCUAAUACAUGCAAGUCGAACGAACGGACGAGAAGCUUGCUUCUCUGAUGUUAGCGGCGGACGGGUGAGUAACACGUGGAUAACCUACCUAUAAGACUGGGAUAACUUCGGGAAACCGGAGCUAAUACCGGAUAAUAUUUUGAACCGCAUGGUUCAAAAGUGAAAGACGGUUUUGCUGUCACUUAUAGAUGGAUCCGCGCUGCAUUAGCUAGUUGGUAAGGUAACGGCUUACCAAGGCAACGAUGCAUAGCCGACCUGAGAGGGUGAUCGGCCACACUGGAACUGAGACACGGUCCAGACUCCUACGGGAGGCAGCAGUAGGGAAUCUUCCGCAAUGGGCGAAAGCCUGACGGAGCAACGCCGCGUGAGUGAUGAAGGUCUUCGGAUCGUAAAACUCUGUUAUUAGGGAAGAACAUAUGUGUAAGUAACUGUGCACAUCUUGACGGUACCUAAGCAGAAAGCCACGGCUAACUACGU